rnacentral:rRNA from 1 species
AAUAGAUACCCCGGUAGUCCACGCCGUAAACGAUGGAUGCUAGCUAUUGGGGGGAAUCGACCCCCUCCGAAGCGAAGCUAACGCGUUAAGCAUCCCGCCUGAGUAGUACGAGCGCAAGCUUAAAACUCAAAGGAAUUGACGGGGACCCGCACAAGCGGUGGAGCGUGUGGUUUAAUUCGAUGGUAAACGAAGAGCCUUACCAAGGUUUGACAUCCCGGUAGCCGUUCUCCGAAAGGAGAAUUUCAUUUAGUUGGACCGGUGACAGGUGAUGCAUGGCCGUCGUCAGCUCGUGUCGUGAGAUGUUGGGUUAAGUCCCGCAACGAGCGCAACCCUUAUGAUUUAGUUGGAUUUUCUAAACAGACUGCCCUGGUAACAGGGAGGAAGGAGGGGAUGAUGUCAGGUCAGUAUUUCCCUUACACCUUGGGGCGACACACGCGCUACAAUGGCCGGUACAAUGGGCAGCUAAGCCGCGAGGUGGAGCAAAUCCCAUCAAAGCCGGUCCCAGUUCGGAUUGCAGGCUGAAACCCGCCUGCAUGAAGCCGGAAUCGCUAGUAA